rnacentral:rRNA from 1 species
UACGUAGGGUGCAAGCGUUAAUCGGAAUUACUGGGCGUAAAGCGUGCGCAGGCGGCUAUGCAAGACAGAUGUGAAAUCCCCGGGCUCAACCUGGGAACUGCAUUUGUGACUGCAUGGCUAGAGUACGGUAGAGGGGGAUGGAAUUCCGCGUGUAGCAGUGAAAUGCGUAGAUAUGCGGAGGAACACCGAUGGCGAAGGCAUCCCUGGGUCAAGAUUGACGCUCAUGCACGAAAGCGUGGGGAGCAAACAGG